rnacentral:lncRNA from 1 species
AUCAAUCAAAUAUAAAAUUUUCCUUUAUAAAAUUUGACAGCUGUGAAUUCUUCUACCCAGUGGCACUUGCCUUUCCUACUGCCUCCAGGGAUGGUCCAUCUCCUCUCUCAAAUGUUUCAACUUGCCACUUCAAAGUUCACCAUGGAUGAUGAUAUUGCUGCCCUCAUAGUAGACAAUGGCUCCAGCAUUUACAAAGCUGACUUUAGAGGAGAUUGCACCUCUUGACUGUCUUUCCUUCCAUUGUUAGGCACCCCAGAUGUCAGGGAGUGAUGGUAGUUACAAACCAGAAAGACAGCUAUGUGGAGGAUGAGGUCCAAGAGAGCAUCAUAUUAUCACAUGAUCAGUCAAUUAUUUAUCAAGCUCAGGAAGAAGGAAGCUGUGGUUUAUUGUUUAGCCAUCAGCUAGAUCUCCAGCUAUUGAUCAUUAGGUUGAACAAGAUCAAUAGUCCAAAGAAGUGAAGGAGACUACAGGUGCACUGCUACAGAAAGAAACAUGGCUAUGUAAGAGAGAAGUUACAAAAGGAGAGAAAAAAUCAAUUCCAGCAAUGCAAAGGAACAGCCCAAGUGGAGAAAGAAGAAGGAAGACUCAAGAUUCCAGGAAGGAAUAGAGGAUCUGAGAAAAUUCCAAACUGCCAGCUUACUUCUGGCCCUUCUUCCAUCCCCCAUACCACAGAAGGCAUCACCCAGCAAACUAAACAGAUUUUGUCUUUCAUGUUUCCAGUUCUCAGUUCAUUCUCUGUAAAUGAACAUUCACAAAUGAUUCUUCAAACAUUAAAUUGGUAUCUGCAUAUACUGUUUUCUUAGUUCCAUUCAUUUCAGUUUCAUAAUAUUAUUCUAAGGAAAUAGUAAAGACUGGGCAUUUGCUGUUAUCUAGAGCCACUUUUCAAAGAUUCCAGGACUAAGCUAGCCUUCUUUGUGCUGAGAAUAUUCAUAUAGGUAGUCUAAUC